rnacentral:rRNA from 2 species
AGACCCGAAACCCGGUGAUCUAGCCAUGGGCAGGUUGAAGGUUGGGUAACACUAACUGGAGGACCGAACCGACUAAUGUUGAAAAAUUAGCGGAUGACCUGUGGCUGGGGGUGAAAGGCCAAUCAAACCGGGAGAUAGCUGGUUCUCCCCGAAAGCUAUUUAGGUAGCGCCUCGUGAAUUCAUCUCCGGGGGUAGAGCACUGUUUCGGCUAGGGGGCCAUCCCGGCUUACCAACCCGAUGCAAACUGCGAAUACCGGAGAAUGUUAUCACGGGAGACACACGGCGGGUGCUAACGUCCGUCGUGAAGAGGGAAACAACCCAGACCGCCAGCUAAGGUCCCAAAGUCAUGGUUAAGUGGGAAACGAUGUGGGAAGGCCCAGACAGCCAGGAUGUUGGCUUAGAAGCAGCCAUCAUUUAAAGAAAGCGUAAUAGCUCACUGGUCGAGUCGGCCUGCGCGGAAGAUGUAACGGGGCUAAACCAUGCACCGAAGCUGCGGCAGCGAACGUAUCACUUAAAGCGAUUCAGCGGGUUACGAUUGACGGAGCGAAGCGACGUCAAAGCGUAUACAAAGUCGAGUCGGUUUAAGGAUACGUUCGUUGGGUAGGGGAGCGUUCUGUAAGCCUGUGAAGGUGGCCUGUGAGGGUUGCUGGAGGUAUCAGAAGUGCGAAUGCUGACAUAAGUAACGAUAAAGCGGGUGAAAAGCCCGCUCGCCGGAAGACCAAGGGUUCCUGUCCAACGUUAAUCGGGGCAGGGUGAGUCGACCCCUAAGGCGAGGCCGAAAGGCGUAGUCGAUGGGAAACGGGUUAAUAUUCCCGUACUUGGUGUUACUGCGAAGGGGGGACGGAGAAGGCUAUGUUGGCCGGGCGACGGUUGUCCCGGUUUAAGCGUGUAGGUGUGUGUUCCAGGUAAAUCCGGUUCACUUUAACACUGAGGCGUGACGACGAGGCACUACGGUGCUGAAGCAACAAAUGCCCUGCUUCCAGGAAAAGCCUCUAAGCAUCAGGUAACAUCAAAUCGUACCCCAAACCGACACAGGUGGUCAGGUAGAGAAUACCAAGGCGCUUGAGAGAACUCGGGUGAAGGAACUAGGCAAAAUGGUGCCGUAACUUCGGGAGAAGGCACGCUGACACGUAGGUGAAGUGAUUUACUCAUGGAGCUGAAGUCAGUCGAAGAUACCAGCUGGCUGCAACUGUUUAUUAAAAACACAGCACUGUGCAAACACGAAAGUGGACGUAUACGGUGUGACGCCUGCCCGGUGCCGGAAGGUUAAUUGAUGGGGUCAGCGCAAGCGAAGCUCCUGAUCGAAGCCCCGGUAAACGGCGGCCGUAACUAUAACGGUCCUAAGGUAGCGAAAUUCCUUGUCGGGUAAGUUCCGACCUGCACGAAUGGCGUAAUGAUGGCCAGGCUGUCUCCACCCGAGACUCAGUGAAAUUGAACUCGCUGUGAAGAUGCAGUGUACCCGCGGCAAGACGGAAAGACCCCGUGAACCUUUACUAUAGCUUGACACUGAACAUUGAGCCUUGAUGUGUAGGAUAGGUGGGAGGCUUUGAAGUGUGGACGCCAGUCUGCAUGGAGCCGGCCUUGAAAUACCACCCUUUAAUGUUUGAUGUUCUAACGUGGACCCGU